rnacentral:rRNA from 1 species
GGGAAUCCGCCCUUCGGUUGGGAAUAACUGAGAGAAAUUUCAGCUAAUACCUUAUAAUGUCUUCGGACCAAAGAUUUAUCGCCGAGGGAUGAGCCCGCGUAGGAUUAGCUAGUUGGUGGGGUAAUGGCCUACCAAGGCGACGAUCCUUAGCUGGUCUGAGAGGAUGAUCAGCCACACUGGGACUGAGACACGGCCCAGACUCCUACGGGAGGCAGCAGUGGGGAAUAUUGGACAAUGGGCGAAAGCCUGAUCCAGCAAUGCCGCGUGAGUGAUGAAGGCCUUAGGGUUGUAAAGCUCUUUUACCAGGGAUGAUAAUGACAGUACCUGGAGAAUAAGCUCCGGCUAACUCCGUGCCAGCAGCCGCGGUAAUACGGAGGGAGCUAGCGUUGUUCGGAAUUACUGGGCGUAAAGCGCGCGUAGGCGGCUGUUCAAGUCAGAGGUGAAAGCCCGGGGCUCAACCCCGGAACUGCCUUUGAAACUAGAUAGCUAGAAUCAUGGAGAGGUCAGUGGAAUUCCGAGU